AUUAAAUAUGCGGCCAGCAGGUGGCGCACCGUUCAUUGCAUUGUACAUAAAUGACUGACUAAACAACAGGAGAAGAGGUGUCAUCACGGCAAUGUUGCAGAGCGAUGGAGGCAGAUGUCCGCCCCGUCUUAGUGCAAGUUUCUUCCUGUUUGAGAGGCCAACGAGCAGGGCAGGGAACGACAUGCACGCGCACGCCCUGGACUGCAACCUCCUAAUAGCGCCUUAGACAACGUGCCGCCACUGCAGACAAACACAACCUAGGUCGCAGUUCUGGACUCUUCUCAUCAAGGAGGAAGAUGGAGGAAGAGCCCAGAAUGAAAGUACCCGCAGUACGUAACAUAGCAGUUGCCUCACCGCUCUAAAAAGUGAAACUUAAGCUUGUGUGCCAGGAAAAGGAAAGUUAAGUUUGUGUGAAAGUGAGAGUAAAUUUGGUGUGUGUGUGUUUAAGUAUUUACUUUCCCAUAUAUAAGUGUUGCACAACUCUAAUAAUUAGGGGUGUCACGAGACACGAGAUAUAAAAGGGCUCACUCCAUUCAUGCCGUUGUUCUAUAGUGCUAAAACCAAUGCACAGAGUGAAUCCUCUUCCUGCAGGAAAACAGACACGCAUGCACAUGGCUACAUACUGAGGCCGGCAAAAUUAUCCAGUUCAUUUUCGUUUAUUGUGUGAUUAAGUCAUUUAUUAUCAUCCUAGGCCUAAUGCCCACGAGAAAUCUUUUCACAUUUUAAUCUCGCGAGAUCUUGUGACACCCCUGUCAUUUCUUACUGUACAAGUCAUAGUGUUAUUACAAACAAACCAAAUAAAGUUGUUAUUUUUGGAAAAUUUGGU